rnacentral:rRNA from 1 species
GGACCCACCUGACUCCAUUCCGAACUCAGAAGUGAAACGAAAUAGCGCCGAUGGUAGUGUGGGGUUUCCCCAUGUGAGAGUAGGACAUCGCCAGGC